UGGCCUCCAUCUUGAAAACGGAAAAUAAAAACAGCAGACCUAUGAAGGUCGAAGGGGAAGAAAAGCUGUAUCGAUUGUUGAGAUCUGGCGACUUGUUUAAAUUUCAUCAGCCUCACUUCUAUGAACUCUCAGAGCUGAUUACCAACUCCUACCACUGUUAACCCUCAUCCAGGAACAAGCUUAUGUCUUUAACAUUCUGAGUGGGCUUCAGCAUCCUUGCAUAUGUUCAAUUCUUAAAAACCUGUUGAAAUAAAAGAUCAGGAGACAUAGGAAGGAUGCCAGAAGAGAGCGUGGCCUCACGUGUACCAGCUCUCUGCUCUCCUUUGCCUUGGGACGUUCCAUCCCUGGAAGUUUCCCUGCCCACAUCUUUGUAGAGAGUCCAUUCUCCAAGCUUCAGUGUGUCAUCUGUGAGGACCGUGACCCACCUGGUACAUCGCCUCAGGGCAUUCAUUUCAGGCUCCUUCUAAAUGGCCAAGGUAAACCUCAGGUUCUCCUCCUGCCUUUUGCUAAGUAUAUGUCUUGAUGACAAGCCUUCUGCUGAUGAGCUGUGUUUCUGGACCGAUCAUGGUAGAAGUCAAUUAACGUGUCCCUCACUUGGGGUUUCUCAAGGCUGCACUGAUGAGGAAACUGAAACAGAAAAUCCAGAGUAAAUUCCACCAGGCCACACAGCAAGGUCUGAUAGAGCCAGGAGAGACUUUAUGAAAUCCAGACUCUCACACUAAUGCUCUAUCAGCUAGACCUCCAUGUGAGUCUCCCCAAUUUUUACAGGUUGCAGUAACUGGCAAGGAAGAGGUGUGCCUCUCAGCUGUUCACAAUGCAGAAUCUUGAAAAGGUCAACAUAGUAGCAGUAUGACAGGCCAUGUGCACACAAUCCCCUAUCUCAUUGCUGGUGUUGCUAAAGAGCAUCUGGGGUAAGGAAACAUGCAUCCGGUCCAUCCGUCAAGAGUCCAUGAGAAAGCCAACAAUGUUUGCACCUGCAGGAUGAAUUACAUCUUUGGAACUGAAAAUGAAAGAACCAAAAUAGAUAUCAACAGAUAAUUAAAGGAACGUUUGGAAGUUUUUUACCUCAUGCAAACCUCAAACUCUGAACCACUACUGCCUAAAGGAAAUAAAUACUGUGUUAUGACUUUGAAAAAGUGAAGUGGCCAUGUUAGGAGGCCCAGAU
rnacentral:lncRNA from 1 species